AGCAGCCGCGGUAAUUCCAGCUCCAAUAGCGUAUAUUAAAGUUGUUGCAGUUAAAAAGCUCGUAGUUGAAUUUCGGGAUCAAGGAAUCGGUCAUGCCUUGGUAUGUACUGGUUUUAUUGGUUCUCACCUUCUAAAGAAUCAUAAUGUCAUUUAUUUGAUGUUAUGGGGAAUUAGGACUGUUACCUUGAAAAAAUUAGAGUGUUUAAAGCAAGCUUACGCUUGAAUACAUUAGCAUGGAAUAAUGAAAUAGGACAUCAGAUUCUAUUUUGUUGGUUUCUAGGAUCGAUGUAAUGAUUAAUAGGGAUAGUUGGGGGCAUUAGUAUUCAAUUGUCAGAGGUGAAAUUCUUGGAUUUAUUGAAGACUAACUACUGCGAAAGCAUUUGCCAAGGAUGUUUUCAUUAAUCAAGAACGAAAGUUAGGGGAUCGAAGACGAUCAGAUACCGUCGUAGUCUUAACCAUAAACUAUGCCGACUAGGGAUCGGAUGAUGUUAAUUUUUAAUGACUCAUUCGG
rnacentral:rRNA from 1 species